rnacentral:rRNA from 1 species
AGCAGCCGCGGUAAUUCCAGCUCCAAUAGCGUAUAUUAAAGUUGUUGCAGUUAAAAAGCUCGUAGUUGAAUUUCGGGAUUAGUACGUCGGUCGUGCCUUCGGUACGUACUGGUGUUACUGAUUCCUACCUUCUGACGAACCAUCAUGUCAUUAAUUUGGUGUGGUGGGGAAUCAGGACUGUUACUUUGAAAAAUUGAGUGUUUAAAGCAGGCUCGCGCUUGAAUACAUUAGCAUGGAAUAAUGAAAUAGGACGUUGACCCUAUUUUGUUGGUUUCUAGGAUUGACGUAAUGAUUAAUAGGGAUAGUUGGGGGCAUUAGCAUUCAAUUGUCAGAGGUGAAAUUCUUGGAUUUAUUGAAGACUAACUACUGCGAAAGCAUUUGCCAAGGAUGUUUUCAUUAAUCAAGAACGAAGUUAGGGGAUCGAAGACGAUCAGAUACCGUCGUAGUCUU